UUCUUUAAUAAUGGUAGCCUAUCAUCUGACCUAAUAACACUAGCCAUCUCAUUAUCGAUUUUGUUUUCUUGCCGCACAAGCUUUUGCCACCGCUGUUGCGCUACUUGACGCGGCUCCUUGGUUGUCAAUAUCAAUUCAACCCGCGAAAACUGCCACCGCCUUGAUUCGUUUCCGUUUGAUGGACAUAAAACUUAAAUAAUUUUUCUCUGUUCCGCAAAUAAGGUCGCCUACUCGUCCAAGACAAAUUGUUUUGCUUUGCUUACUUAUAAGUAUCUCUGUUCUGAUAUGUGCACAGGUCCGCCCUAGUGUCGUGAUCAUCAUCCUAUGGAAUAACUCCUGAAAACACAUGUGAAAAUAGGUACGUCAGCAUAAAAAUGCCUGUGA
rnacentral:lncRNA from 1 species